GGGCUAGUGGUCUAGGGGUAUGAUUCCUGCUUUGGGUGCAGGAGGUCCCGGGUUCAAUCCCGGCUGAGCCCA
rnacentral:tRNA from 1 species